CGUUUAUUCAUAUAACGUACGCCUAUGUUCGAUCCGUCGCUUGUCCGGGGGUUAAUGAUUGGGCUUGAUUGCUUGGCAAACAUGGGCGAGCCUCGAAUCAACCUCCCGUCCCACUGGUCCACCCCCUUCGUCGCGACGACUUCCUCCGGGGUGUUGCACGUUGUGUCCUGAGAAAUGUUUGGACUUCAGCGGAUUUGGAAGUAAUAUCAUUUCCAGAAAGUGCAUUAAUCAGAUAAAGAAACUACUACGUGUUGUAUUUAUCAUCAAAUGCUCUGCAAUCGUCGCACUUCAAAAAUUUUAUCAGCGUCGCAACGAGGUCGAGCGAAUACGAUGCUAUGCUAAACGCGGUCUUCUUCUAAGUGAGCUCGACGAAGAAGCGCGUCAAUGGAGAAGGAGAAUGGACGAAGAUAACAACGAUGAUGAUGAUGCUGAUGACGAGGAUGAUGAGUCAGAGUCGAGAUUGAGAAUAGCGCCGGGGUCAACUGACGAAGGAAGUCCGACUUGACCGGCAUCGUUUGACCCUCGAGAUUAGUCGAUCGUGUCGCGGCAACGACCCAUUGAUCUGUGAUCAAUCGGAUUCAUUGACACGACGCGAAACGCGACGAAAAUGAAGAUUUCAGAGACUCGACAGAAUAAUAUUUAAUCUGAAAUGG